AUUUGUACCAGUUUAUUAUAAACCAUUGCCUUUUCAAUGCUGCUUUUUAUAGAAGAUUUCAUAUUUGUUUAUAUUAUUGAAGUUCGACUGAAGUUUAGUAAUAUCAUUUUUCUAUGAAGAGUCGCCAUGGACAAUUAACUAUCGGCGUAAAACAACAACGAUAUUAGGGUAAAGUACCUUUAGUCGUACCAGCGCUUAAGUCGUACCACGUCGAUAUCUGCGCACCCGUCAUGAAAAGGUGGCAUCUAGCAGUGCAAUAUGGUUCUACUAAGUACCACGGAUAAACAGCAACACGCGGCGGCUUGCCGGAAUUCGCGAUCAAAAAAUAAUGAAAAAGUGAUCAAUAUGGCAAAGAAAAUUUAUAACUCUUGGAAGCAAGAUGACAUAGAUGAACACAAAAAGGAACACAAUUCACAAAUAAAAAAAGAAAGAUAGACAGAAAAUCUAACAAAGAUAAGAAAUUAGAUGCUAAAGAAAAUUGGUUGUGCAAACUAACAACACUAAACAAGAUCGCAAAGAAAAUAUGACCCUAUGUAUUAAAUGCAAAGGAUGGGUACAUGAUUUAUGUGCAGAUCUCGAAAUUAAAACUAAAAAUUACAUUUGUGAUAUAUGCAUUUAAAAAA